CUGGGCAGAGGGUGCCCCGCCCGCCAUGAGUCUGACCUUGACGCGGUGCUGCCGCUUGUUCAUCUCCGUCUCUAGGCGCCGCUUCUGCUCUGUUUCCUCCCGAAGCCGCCUCUGCAGCUGCCCCUGCUGCUGCCGCAUGAGCUGCACGUUCCUCUCCAGCUCCUGGAGCCGCUUCUCGCUCUGGGCCGACAGUGACACCAGCCGCUCCGUCGCCUGCUUCUUUUCCUUCAGCACCUGGGACCCACACAGUCUCCACUGGGCCAUGCACGGGCCACCUCGAGCCUGGCACAGUGCCCGGCACUCAACAGGGGUGGGAAGGACCCAAGGACAGACAAAUGGACAGAGGAACAGAUACAAAAACAGAUUAGAAAACUAAGGCACAGAGAGGUUAGGAAACUUGACCAAGGACACACAGUAAGUGGCUGAGCUGGGACUCACACCUCAGCAGUCAGGCUCCAGAGCCCUGCACUCAACCAUUCUACUAUAUUGCCUCAUGGACACCAGCAAUGAGAAAAGAAGGAACGAAUAGUGGAUGGACAGCUGCAAAGAUGGACAGGCUGGCUAACUCCCUCUCAUCCUGAGAAACUCCACUCCGACUUCCCCUGCUUCCUCCUCCGGGAAGCCCUCCGGCACUGUGGAAGGGACGGCCCCACCUGCAGUUUGUACUGCUCCAUGGCGUC